CUGAGGUCGGGAAUUUGGGACCAGCCUGACCAACAUGGAGAAACCUCGUCUCUACUAAAAACACCAAAAAUUAGCCAGGCGUGGUGGUGCAUGCCUAUAAUCUCAGCUACUUGGGAGGCUGAGGCAGGAGAAUCACUUGAACCCAGGAGGCGGAGGCUGUGGUGAACCAAGAUUGCUCCACUGCACUCCAGCCUGGGCAACAAGAGCGAAACUCCGUCUCAGGAAAAAAAAAAAAAAAAUGGAUGGAGCAGAUAUAUUUAAAGCUCUUCAAAUGUGUCUUAUAUCCUUUUUUUUUUUGAGACAGAGUUUCACCCUGUUGUCCAGGAUAGAGUGCAGUGGUCAUGAUCAUAGCUGACUGCAGCACAGACCCUCCUGGGCUCAAGUGAUUCUCUCACAUCAGCCUCCUGGGUAGCCAGGACUACAGGCACAAGCCACCAUGCCCAGCUACUUUUUUUUUUUUUUUAAUCUUUGUAGAAACGAGGUCUCACCAUAUUGCCCAAGCUGGUCUUUAACUCCUGGGCUCAAGCAAUCCUUCAGCCCUCAGCCUCCCAAAGUGCUGGAAUAACAGGUGUCAGCCACCGAGCCCAGCCUUAUAUGCUAUAUUUACUAUUAUCUCACCUACCAACUAAUAAUCCUUGCUCUAUCACAAUGAGAUCUUUAGGAAAUGUAAACACCUAUAAUACGUAGCAAAAGAAUGUAAUUAAGGAAAAUAAUGCUAAAAACAGGCAACAAUGUGUAACAGAGCAAAAAGAAUUCUAGACUUUGCUUUUGUAGAUUGUGUCCCUGGUUAUCCUACAUUAACCCCAAAAGCUAAAAACAGCCUAUAUAUAUGAUACAUCACUUACAAAUGCAGGAGCUUGGCCAGGUGCAGUGGCUCACGCCUGUAAUCCCAGCACUUUGGGAGGCUAAGGUGGGCGGAUCACCUGAGGUCAGGAGUUCGAGACCAGCCUGGCCAACAUGGCAAAACCCUGUCUCUAUCAAAAAUACAAAAAGCAGAUGGGCAUGGUGGCACACACCUGUAGUCCCAGCUACUUGAGGGGCUGAGAUUCAAGGAGAAUUCAAGGAGAAUCUCUUGAACCCGGGAGGUGGAGGUUGCAGUGAGCUGAGAUCGUGCCACUGCACUCCAGCCUGGGUGACAGAGCGAG
rnacentral:lncRNA from 1 species